UAGACGAAAAAUGACAAUCUAUAUGAAAUCAUAGACCAUUCAAGGUGUUAGUUUUUGGUCCUAUUCAAUUCUUUGAGAAGCAAUUGAAUAGGUAAUUACAAUGCAGAAGCAACUUAAUGAGAAGAUGAGGCAAUUUCAAGAGGUAAACCUAAAAAAGGUUAAGUCUCACAAAUAAGACAGUUGUUGAUUCCCUAGAGCUUGUUGAUUUAAGAGUUAAGACAUUGCUCCUUUUAGAACAAAAAAAGGGCAGGUCGAUGCACUAAGCUCCCGCUAUGCGGGGGGUUCGAGGAAGGGCUAGACUACAAGGGUCUAUUAUACACAGCAUUACCCUGCAUUUCUGCAAACGGCUGUUUCCAUGGCUCGAACACGUGACCUCCUGAUCACAUGACAUGAAGAAUUAACUUUUAAUCGUCCUCCUCCUCGGGGUCAAAAUCUUUAACCUUCACAUCAGCAUCCUCUCCAUACUGAAUGCAGUUGUCAAUCUGAAAUAAGAUAUACUGUAUGCUGCAAAACGGCAGAGAACAUUCAUCUUUGUCAUUGAAGCUGAAACAAUAAUUUAAUAGCAAGACUAAAAGGUACCCUUGUGUGGGUUACGCAUACAACAAACACACACACACACAAAAGCACAGACAAACAAGCUAUCAUCCAUCUGAUAGUUAAGACGUCUGACAACUUGUUUGGAUGGUUGUUAUGUAUCGUUUCAUAAUGUAUCGUAUUGUAUUGUAUUCUACUGUAUUGUAUUGAUGUAUACAAUGUUGGAUAGAUAGUAUUGUUUGUCGUCGUUUCAUGAUAUCAUGGACCAACAAUAUGAAAAAUAAACUUGCAAUAUUAUAAAGAAAAAGUAAGGUAUGAGGUAGAAUAAUUAUAUAAAAAUAUGGGAUAAAAGAUAAAAUAAGAUUAUUUAAUAAUAAGGAAAGGCAAGAUGAGAGAAAAAAAUAAGGUAACGACGCAACCACACCAAAUCGGUCGUUCCAUAAAGUGGCACUUUUCGUCAUUACGUAACAACGGAUUUAACGAUACAAUACAGUAAAAUUUACGCAACAAUCAAAACAAACAUUGUAUUUAAAGUAACAACACAUAACAACCAUCCAAACAAGUUGUAAUGUACUAUCCCUUAGGUCAGAAAGUUAUUGGCAUAAUUUUACCAAUCAAGCAAUCUAUAAGAAAUGGCUAAAUACCUGGAAAACUAAAAAGCACAAGUUAUCACUGUCGUCGUCAUCACAUUUUUAUUUGACAACACUUACUAUGAAAACCCUCCUAAGUAUGAAUGGGAAGCAGGGAGUGAAAACAACAUGAGAACCAGGUGCAUAUUGAGACACUGAAAAAUCAUUGCAUUAUGGUUUGCUGUAAGCUGAUCAAUUCAAUCUCGAACAAAUGCUGCUUCCAUUAAAAAGGGCAGUCCGGUGCACUAAGCUCCUGCUAUGCGCGGGGUCCGGGGUCUAUUGUACACAACCUUACCUGUAUUUCUGCAAAAGGCUGUUUCCACGGCUUGAACCCGUGACCUCCUGGUCACAUGGCAAUAACUUUACCAGUUAUGCUGCUUCCAUAAAGAUUAUUUAAAUUUACCACAAGGAACAGUAUGUGUUACCUGCUCUCUUUUCUCAAGUCAAGAGGGAGAAAGCUCACCAUGCUGUACUGUAUCAGCCAUUACAGAUAACUUUCUGCCUCAUAUCUUUUCAUCCGACUUAAAGUAGGGAAGAAGAAUCUGUGGCAGAUAAUUCAUAUCCUACAAGCCUGUAAAAUCUUGUUUUUAACUUGGGAGAAAGAACAACCUCUUCAAGUAAAAGUUGUCGUUAAGUUCCAAUGACAAAAGAGAAUAAUCGAAGUACACAAAACAUAUAUGAUUGUCAAUUCAAUAACUAAUACACCAAUUCUUGGAAACAUUCAGAGCUUACCACUUCAAUCAAAGCUUUGUUAAGCUUCUGAUAUUGUGGAGCCAUUCGCUGAUUCAACUCUGCCAGUAACAGCUAAGCUCUGGAUCCAAGUAACUGAAGGGAAAACAAAUUUCAAUACACUAAAUUAACAAAGACACUUAGUGGGAGCAUGUGUUGAAAGCUAUGUUGCUCGGACACUCCGAAAAUGUCGUUUGGUGUGUGUCGGAUCCUCCGAAAGUAGUGUAUUUUUGGAAGAUCUGACACGGGUGCGGUAGCAUUUUGGAGAGUCCGCGCAAUAUAGGUUGAAAGUGCCAAAGACAUGAAACGAAUAGUUAAGAGGUAGUAGGACUAACUUCUCAACAUCCUUUUUGUUUGUCACAAGAUCCAUUUUUGAGAGAAUGUUAACAUGGGGUAGUUCAAGUUGAACCAUAGCAGAGAGUGAAGCCAUACAACCACUUAUGAAUUUGGUCACAUCUGUGAUAACCUG
rnacentral:lncRNA from 1 species